rnacentral:rRNA from 1 species
UACGUAGGGGCCGAGCGUUGUCCGGAAUUACUGGGCGUAAAGCGCGCGCAGGCGGCUGAUCAAGCCUGUCGUGAAAGCCCCCGGCUCAACCGGGGAGGGUCGUCGGGGACUGGUUAGCUUGAGGGCGGUAGGGGCCGGUGGAAUUCCCGGUGUAGUGGUGAAAUGCGUAGAGAUCGGGAGGAACACCAGUGGCGAAGGCGGCCGGCUGGGCCGACACUGACGCUGAGGCGCGAAGGCGUGGGGAGCGAACGGG